CAAGAAGCUAAGGAGGCUGCAAGACCUCGUGCCCAAUAUGGACAAGCAAACAACUGCAUCAGACAAAGAUCUAGAGUACCUGCUCAUAUCUGGUGAGCGGGUAGUCUCUCGCCCCAAACGCCUAAGCUCCUGUGGGGGAGUGAUGAAUCGAACAAGGAGGAAGGGCGACGUGUUUGUUCUUCAACCAUUUCCCUCUGAAACCUAGAAAAUUGGGGGGAAUCAUAUCUGGAGCAUAUGUGAACUUGGCCUCCGGUCAUUGAGUCAGGUUUCUGGUUUUGCUUGGGAGAGUAGCAUGUGUUUCCCAUUUGUUUAUUUAAAUAAUUUGUAUCUAAUUCUUGUGAACCAGAUCGUGCUUGGGAGAGUAGCAUGUGUUUGAUUUAGUUACAUACAUAGACCUUUUGAACAUUUGGCUUGGCUGUUUGGAUCUGCUUUUAUGCAGGGAGACUGUAUUCCAACCAUAAAACUGAC